CAGAACUGGCAGUGACCCCAAAAUCUGGGUGUUUACAAAGUGUUGCCAGAGGCUACAUGAGGCUCUGCCACAUUUCUGGAGCCACUCAGGGGAAGAAGUUGCAGAGACAGCUGCUAGCAGAGAGACCCAACCAAAAUGGGCUGACUCAUCUCAGCCCAUUUGAACAGAGAAAAGAUGAACAAACCUUAAUGAGGGAAGGAUCCCUGCAGAGACAAGGCAUGCAAAAGAUAAUGGAUUGAGGCAUUCAGAAGAUUUUUUCUCUUAUCCCCAUGGUAAAUAUCUGAAAAUGUUAGUGAGAGAACAGAGAC